rnacentral:rRNA from 1 species
AUUGAACGCUGGCGGCAGGCCUAACACAUGCAAGUCGAGCGAAUGAGGGGAGCUUGCUCCCUGAUUUAGCGGCGGACGGGUGAGUAAUGUAUAGGGAGCUGCCCGAUAGAGGGGGAUACCAGUUGGAAACGACUGUUAAUACCGCAUAAUGUCUACGGACCAAAGUGUGGGACCUUCGGGCCACAUGCUAUCGGAUGCACCUAUAUGGGAUUAGCUAGUUGGUGGGGUAACGGCUCACCAAGGCGACGAUCCCUAGCUGGUUUGAGAGGAUGAUCAGCCACACUGGAACUGAGACACGGUCCAGACUCCUACGGGAGGCAGCAGUGGGGAAUAUUGGACAAUGGGCGCAAGCCUGAUCCAGCCAUGCCGCGUGUGUGAAGAAGGCCUUCGGGUUGUAAAGCACUUUCAGCGAGGAGGAAGAGUGUUGUGUUAAUAGCACAGCAUUUUGACGUUACUCGCAGAAGAAGCACCGCUAACU